UCCCUGGUGGUCCAGUGGUUAGGUUACGGCGCUCUCACAGCCGCGGCCCGAGUUCGAUUCCAGGUCAGGGAA
rnacentral:tRNA from 1 species